AGCAGCCGCGGUAAUUCCAGCUCCAAUAGCGUAUAUUAAAGUUGUUGCAGUUAAAAAGCUCGUAGUUGAAUUUCGGGAUCAAUUUAUCGGUCGUGCCAAUGGUAUGAACUGGUACAAUUGGUUUCUCCCUUCUGACGAAGCAUGAUGUCAUUAAUUUGGUGUCGUGGGGAAUCAGGACUGUUACUUUGAAAAAAUUAGAGUGUUUAAAGCAAGCAUUAGCUUGAAUACAUUAGCAUGGAAUAAUGAAAUAGGACGUUUGAUCCUAUUUCGUUGGUUUCUAGGAUCGACGUAAUGAUUAAUAGGGAUAGUUGGGGGCAUUAGUAUUCAAUUGUCAGAGGUGAAAUUCUUGGAUUUAUUGAAGACUAACUACUGCGAAGGCAUUUGCCAAGGAUGUUUUCAUUAAUCAAGAACGAAAGUUAGGGGAUCGAAGACGAUCAGAUACCGUCGUAGUCUUAACCAUAAACUAUGCCGACUAGGGAUCGGAUGAUGUUAAUUUUUUAAUGACUCA
rnacentral:rRNA from 1 species